rnacentral:rRNA from 1 species
UACGGAGGGUGCGAGCGUUGUCCGGAAUCACUGGGCGUAAAGGGCGCGUAGGCGGCGCGGGUAGUCAUCGGUGAAAGUUCAGGGCUCAACUCUGAAUCGGCCGGUGAUACUCCCGUGCUCGAGCCACUGUAGAGGCAGGUGGAAUUCCGGGUGUAGCGGUGGGAAUGCGUAGAGAUCCGGAAGAACACCGGUGGCGAAGGCGGCCUGCUGGGCGAGUGAGCUGGACGCUGAUGCGCCGACGAGCGUGGGGAGCCAAACAGG